ACUAACAUUAUUGAGGAGGAGAAAUCCAUACCCACUUGAUGAUAAUGUUGAUUAUGGUUAUGAGGAUGGUGAGGACACUCAAGGUGUCAACCUAUUAUGUCUUUAUUAUACCACUGACACCGAGGAAGAAAGUGAAACU